AGUUCCAACAGGUAAGAGCACCUUUCGGGGGUACACUGAGUGGCGAACGGGUGAGUAACACGUGGGUAAUCUGCCCUGCACUUCGGGAUAAGCCUGGGAAACCGGGUCUAAUACCGGAUAUGAGCUCCUGCCGCAUGGUGGGGGUUGGAAAGUUUUUCGGUGCAGGAUGAGUCCGCGGCCUAUCAGCUUGUUGGUGGGGUAAUGGCCUACCAAGGCGACGACGGGUAGCCGGCCUGAGAGGGUGAUCGGCCACACUGGGACUGAGACACGGCCCAGACUCCUACGGGAGGCAGCAGUGGGGAAUAUUGCACAAUGGGCGAAAGCCUGAUGCAGCGACGCCGCGUGGGGGAUGACGGUCUUCGGAUUGUAAACUCCUUUCAGUAGGGACGAAGCGAAAGUGACGGUACCUGCAGAAGAAGCACCGGCCAACUACGUGCCAGCAGCCGCGGUAAUACGUAGGGUGCAAGCGUUGUCCGGAAUUACUGGGCGUAAAGAGCUCGUAGGCGGUUUGUCACGUCGUCUGUGAAAUCCUCCAGCUCAACUGGGGGCGUGCAGGCGAUACGGGCAGACUUGAGUACUACAGGGGAGACUGGAAUUCCUGGUGUAGCGGUGAAAUGCGCAGAUCUCAGGAGGACACACCGUCUGCUCAAAGUCGUGCUCCUGCUGGCUACUAACUCUAA
rnacentral:rRNA from 1 species